AUUGAACGCUGGCGGCAGGCCUAACACAUGCAAGUCGAGCGGAUGAAGGGAGCUUGCUCCUGGAUUCAGCGGCGGACGGGUGAGUAAUGCCUAGGAAUCUGCCUGGUAGUGGGGGAUAACGUCUGGAAACGGGCGCUAAUACCGCAUACGUCCUGAGGGAGAAAGUGGGGGAUCUUCGGACCUCACGCUAUCAGAUGAGCCUAGGUCGGAUUAGCUAGUUGGUGGGGUAAAGGCCUACCAAGGCGACGAUCCGUAACUGGUCUGAGAGGAUGAUCAGUCACACUGGAACUGAGACACGGUCCAGACUCCUACGGGAGGCAGCAGUGGGGAAUAUUGGACAAUGGGCGAAAGCCUGAUCCAGCCAUGCCGCGUGAGUGAAGAAGGUCUUCGGAUUGUAAAGCACUUUAAGUUGGGAGGAAGGGCAGUAAGUUAAUACCUUGCUGUUUUGACGUUACCAACAGAAUAAGCACCGGCUAACUUCGUG
rnacentral:rRNA from 1 species